rnacentral:lncRNA from 1 species
GCUUGUUGGGACGGUUACAGCUCAUUUCGCAUGCCGGACAACUAUUGCAUAUCUGAACGAUUAUCACACGUUUGAUAGUUACAGUAUGCCCACUCUUUUAAGAUAAUGAUUUUAUGCCCAUUCUCCAAUAUAUAGAGGGACCGAGGAACCUCUAGUUGCAUUUUUUCUCUCUCUCUAACUCUAUUCUAUAUAGCUCUUUCAGACCUCCAAUUUUUUUCAAACCUCAGUCUGACUUUGGCACCAGAAAAUCUUCAGCCGAAUUAAGUCCGAUAGCCUUCGGUGCUUUCUCUCCUAUUUAGGUCCGAGCAGAAGCCAUCCACUUGCAAUGAUUGACCAAUUCUUCCAACUCCCAUCUCAUCGGAUUUUGCACGCAUCAUCCAAAUUAGUACAUUGGUACUUUUGCCAAUAGUCACGGGGGCUUGGAUAGAAUGGCUCAACAAAAUCCACAACGAAAUAUAUCGGCCAAAGGAGUCUAAUUUUACAAUUAUAAGAAUACAAUCAUUCUUUUAGCAAAAAUCUUCGUGAAUCAAAAAAAAAAAGAAAAAGAAAAAAAAGAACACCGCACGGAACCACGGAAUUCGAUCAGCUGACAAAGUCGC